GGACAAUGAUGAAAAACGCUAACAAAAGACACCAUCUUUCGGGACUGAUUGGUGCAGUCAAUGUACCAUGUUGUCAAAUCUGCAAUACUGACGUCA